rnacentral:tRNA from 1 species
GAAUGUAUAGCUCAAUUUGGUAGAGCAGUAGAUCGAUAAUCUACCCGCUAGUGGUUCAAGUCCAUUUACAUUCA